GCAGAGACCCCCUUCUUCGGGUCCUCAGAGUCACACAGGCAAAACUAAAGCAGCAAAAGACAGCAUACCCCUGUUUUGUAAACUCCUUCGGUGGAGGGAAGGAAGAACCCAGGCUGUACUGGGGAAGAAGCAGCCUGCCUGCUCACAUCUAGAAAGAAUGACUCAGCUUCAAUAGUCCAAUGAAUAAAACGGACCAUUGAAGACUGGAGAACCCUGAAUUGUCACAUUUGAGAACACUGGACUCAGAGUGCUUUUCAUGGAGACAAAAGAGGAUCCAGUGAGAUGGUGAACAUUCCUAUGGUUUGGAUAUGAACAACCCACGACUUUUGCUCCUAUACUAAAGCCUUCACUGUUGCCUUUCUCUCUGCAUCCUGACUGCCAUAAGGUAAGCAGCCUCUUCCACCAUGCAUUCCUGCCUCAGUAAUGCUCUGCUCACUUGAAACCCAAAGUGAUGGAGUGAGCUAACCGUGUACCACUGAUAAAAAUGCGAUCCAAAAGAAAUCUUUCCUCCUUAAAGUGUGGUUCUCAGAUACACAUCACAGUAAUGAAUGGAGUGAAAAAAAAUCUCUCCUCCACUCAGCCCUACAGGCUCUCAACCUCCUCCCUGCACACGGAUACGUAAUAUUCCUUAUA